rnacentral:rRNA from 1 species
GACGAACGCUGGCGGCGUGCUUAACACAUGCAAGUCGAACGGAAAGGCCCUGCUUUUGUGGGGUGCUCGAGUGGCGAACGGGUGAGUAACACGUGAGUAACCUGCCCUUGACUUUGGGAUAACUUCAGGAAACUGGGGCUAAUACCGGAUAGGAGCUCCUGCUGCAUGGUGGGGGUUGGAAAGUUUCGGCGGUUGGGGAUGGACUCGCGGCUUAUCAGCUUGUUGGUGGGGUAGUGGCUUACCAAGGCUUUGACGGGUAGCCGGCCUUGGAGGGUGACCGGCCACAUUGGGACUGAGAUACGGCCCAGACUCCUACGGGAGGCAGCAGUGGGGAAUAUUGCACAAUGGGCGGAAGCCUGAUGCAGCAACGCCGCGUGCGGGAUGACGGCCUUCGGGUUGUAAACCGCUUUCGCCUGUGACGAAGCGUGAGUGACGGUAAUGGGUAAAGAAGCACCGGCUAACUACGUG